AGAGUUUGAUCCUGGCUCAGAACGAACGCUGGCGGCGUGCUUAACACAUGCAAGUCGAACGGGAUCCAGAGCUUGCUCUGGUGAGAGUGGCGCACGGGUGAGUAACGCGUGGAUAACCUGCCCUGGUAUCCGGAAUAACAUCUCGAAAGGGGUGCUAAUACCGGAUAAGCCUACGGAGCCUUCGGUCUCUGCAGGAAAAGGUGGCCUCUAUUUAUAAGCUACCGUAUCAGGAUGGGUCCGCGUACCAUUAGCUAGUUGGUGGGGUAAUGGCCUACCAAGGCGACGAUGGUUAGCUGGUCUGAGAGGAUGAUCAGCCACACUGGAACUGAGACACGGUCCAGACUCCCACGGGAGGCAGCAGUGGGGAAUUUUGCGCAAUGGGGGAAACCCUGACGCAGCAACGCCGCGUGAGUGAUGAAGGCUUUCGGGUCGUAAAGCUCUGUCAGAGGGGAAGAAAUGAGAUUGGCUAAUAUCCAAUUUUCUUGACGGUACCCUCAAAGGAAGCACCGGCUAACUCCGUGCCAGCCGCCGCGGUAAUUC
rnacentral:rRNA from 1 species